GUACACUCCUACGGGAGGCAGCAGUGGGGAAUAUUGGACAAUGGGCGCAAGCCUGAUCCAGCCAUGCCGCGUGAGUGAUGAAGGCCCUAGGGUUGUAAAGCUCUUUCACCGGUGAAGAUAAUGACGGUAACCGGAGAAGAAGCCCCGGCUAACUUCGUGCCAGCAGCCGCGGUAAUACGAAGGGGGCUAGCGUUGUUCGGAUUUACUGGGCGUAAAGCGCACGUAGGCGGACUAUUAAGUCAGGGGUGAAAUCCCGGGGCUCAACCCCGGAACUGCCUUUGAUACUGGUAGUCUUGAGUUCGAGAGAGGUGAGUGGAAUUCCGAGUGUAGAGGUGAAAUUCGUAGAUAUUCGGAGGAACACCAGUGGCGAAGGCGGCUCACUGGCUCGAUACUGACGCUGAGGUGCGAAAGCGUGGGGAGCAAACAGGAUUAGAUAUCCGUGUAGUCCCAUGAU
rnacentral:rRNA from 1 species